GACGAACGCUGGCGGCGUGCUUAACACAUGCAAGUCGAACGGAAAGGCCCUGCUUUUGUGGGGUGCUCGUGAGGCGAACGGAAGAGUAACCCGUGAGUAACCUGCCCACGACUUUGGGAUAAUUUCAGGAAACUGGGGCCAAUACCGGAUAGGGGCUACUGCUGCCUGGUGGGGGUUGGCAAGUUUCGGCGGUUGGGGAUGGGCUCGCGGCUUCUCAGCUUGUUGGUGGGGUAGUGUCUUACCAGGGCAUUGACGGGUAGGCGGCCUGAGGGGGGGACCGGCCACAUCGGUGCUGAUGUAAGGCCGAGACGCCUACGGGAGGCGGCAGUGGUGAAGAAUGCACAAUGGGCGGAGACAGGAUGCAGGAACGCCGCGUGCGGGAUGACGGACGCCGGGUUGUAGACCGCUUUCGCCUGUGACGAAGCGUGAGUGACGGUAACGGAUGAAGAAGCACCGGCUAACUCCGUG
rnacentral:rRNA from 1 species